rnacentral:misc_RNA from 1 species
GUAUUAAAUUAAAAGGCAAAGCCUUAUCAAUGACAUUCUUUGACAUACAGUGUGUAUAAAAAGACAUAGACCCAGAAAUGCAAGGAAAGCCGACUCAUGCAAGCACAGCAGUCCUCAAAACCGAGUUCAAAACUCGAGGGAUAUCCAGGGUCUACAAAGGGUGCACAGGUGGUCGAAAAGGUGGAAAGGUGUGCACAUAUCCCGAGGGAUCAGCAACAACCCAACCAAGUUUAUUCAAUAAUGAUCCUUCCGCAGGUUCACCUACGGAAA